ACGCUGGCGGCAGGCUUAACACAUGCAAGUCGAACGGUAACAGGGAUUAGCUUGCUAAUCUGCUGACGAGUGGCGGACGGGUGAGUAAUGCUUGGGAAUCUGGCUUAUGGAGGGGGAUAACUACGGGAAACUGUAGCUAAUACCGCGUAAAAUCUUCGGAUUAAAGGGUGGGACUUUCGAGCCACCUGCCAUAAGAUGAGCCCAAGUGGGAUUAGGUAGUUGGUUAGGUAAAGGCUGACCAAGCCGACGAUCUCUAGCUGGUCUGAGAGGAUGACCAGCCACACUGGGACUGAGACACGGUCCAGACUCCUACGGGAGGCAGCAGUGGGGAAUAUUGCACAAUGGGGGGAACCCUGAUGCAGCCAUGCCGCGUGAAUGAAGAAGGCCUUCGGGUUGUAAGUUCUUUCGGUGACGAGGAAGGUUGGUAGGUUAAUAGCCUAUCAAAUUGACGUUAAUCACAGAAGAAGCACCGGCUAACUCCGUGCCAGCAGCCGCGGUAAUACGGGGGGUGCGAGCGUUAAUCGGAAUAACUGGGCGUAAAGGGCACGCAGGCGGUGACUUAAGUGAGAUGUGAAAGCCCCGAGCUUAACUUGGGAAUUGCAUUUCAUACUGGGUCGCUAGAGUACUUUAGGGAGGGGUAGAAUUCCACGUGUAGCGGUGAAAUGCGUAGAGAUGUGGAGGAAUGCCGAAGGCGAAGGCAGCCCCUUGGGAAUGUACUGACGCUCAUGUGCGAAAGCGUGGGGAGCAAACAGGAUUAGAUACCCUGGUAGUCCACGCUGUAAACGAUGUCGAUUUGGGGAUUGGGCUUUGAGCUUGGUGCCCGUAGCUAACGUGAUAAAUCGACCGCCUGGGGAGUACGGCCGCAAGGUUAAAACUCAAAUGAAUUGACGGGGGCCCGCACAAGCGG
rnacentral:rRNA from 1 species